rnacentral:rRNA from 1 species
GGUCUUGACAUCCCCGCGAUGCUUUAGAGAUAAAGCGGAGGUAUUCGGGGAGACAGGUGGUGCAUGGUUGUCGUCAGCUCGUGUCGUGAGAUGUGGGUUAAGUCCCGCAACGAGCGCAACCCUAUUGCUAGUUACCAUCAUUAAGUUGGGGACUCUAGCGAGACUGCCAGUGAUAAACUGGAGGAAGGUGGGGAUGACGUCAAAUCAUCAUGCCCCUUAUGACCUGGGCUACAAACGUGAUACAAUGGCUGGAACAAAGGGAUGCGAAGCAGUGAUGUGGAGCGAAACCCAUAAAAACAGUCUCAGUUCGGAUUGAAGUCUGCAACUCGACUUCAUGAAGUCGGAAUCGCUAGUAAUCGCGGAUCAGAACGCCGCGGUGAAUACGUUCUCGGGGUUU